GAAUCCCGUCUUUGACACGGACUACCGAUGCUUUUGUGAUGCGCUCUCGAAGAGUCGAGUUGUUUGGGAAUGCAGCUCAAAAUGGGAGGUAAAUUCCUUCUAAAGCUAAAUAUUGGCGAGAGACCGAUAGCGAACAAGUACCGUGAGGGAAAGAUGAAAAGCACUUUGGAAAGAGAGUUAAACAGUACGUGAAAUUGCUGAAAGGGAAACGCUUGAAGUCAGUCACGUCUGCCAGGACUCAGCCUUGCUUCUGCUUGGUGUACUUUCUGGUUUGAUGGGCCAACAUCAAUUUCGACCGUUGGAGAAAGGCUUUGGGAAUGUGGCACCUUCGGGUGUGUUAUAGCCCUUUGUUGUAUACAACGGUUGGGAUUGAGGACCGCAGCAUGCCUUCAUGGCCGGGGCUCGCCCACGUACGUGCUUAGGAUGUUGGCAUAAUGGCUUUAAGCGACCCGUCUUGAAACACGGACCAAGGAGUCUAACAUGCCUGCGAGUGUUUGGGUGGAAAACCCAUGCGCGUAAUGAAAGUGAUAGCUGAGAUCCUCUCGUCAGGAGCAUCAGCGCCUGGACUUGAUCUACGGAGACGGUUCUACGGUAGAGCAUGUAUGUUGGGACCCGAAAGAUGGUGAACUAUGCCUGAAUAGGGUGAAGCCAGAGGAAACUCUGGUGGAGGCUCGUAGCGAUUCUGACGUGCAAAUCGAUUGUCAAAUUUGGGUAUAGGGGCGAAAGACUAAUCGAACCAUCUAGUAGCUGGUUCCUGCC
rnacentral:rRNA from 1 species